AUAAAGUAAAACCAGGGCAAGCUCAUGAUGAAAAGAGAAUUCAUCUUCACUGGAGAGUGGAAUCAGCUUGAGGUAUCCCGUAGACUUCCCUUCUAUGAUGUCAUAAACCAGCCCCCGAGAAGGAGGAGUUUUACAAAUGUUCAAAUCUGUUAGGAAGGAAGGAUCAAGUGGCCCCCGACAGCUCCCGAGCGGAGGCAGAGCCCCCAGGCUCUACCUCCUGAGGCCCAGUCGUGCUCUCCCAAGCAUGCCUCUCUGGGAUCUGGGGAGGUUCCCGAGAGCUGGACUUUUAACUGCAGACUUGGCCCCACUUUUCCUAGUGGAUGACCUUCAGAUGCUGCUGCCUGGACCUGAGUAAUGAUGGCAUUCUCUCUUACUCCAGAGCUCAACUGUGCAUACCUGGACUAGGAUUCUGGAAAACUCUGUGCCUUUUAUUCAUUCUUGGCUAGAGAUCAUAGUCAGCACAUGGAUUAUCCUGUAGAAAUGUCAUCUCUUAAAGACGCAGUCCACUUAGACAAUGUCCUUUUCCCUGCGUCAGGUUUUCUGUGGCCUCCAGGGCCCCGCAUGAGUGCCACAACUGUCAACACACAGCGUGAGGAUGUGUGCUGCCUGUGGAAGUGUUUGUCUGAGCUGCAGCCCUGGUGUUCUUGGUUCUGGGACACACAUCGCGUGAAGACCUCUGUGGAACUGAAGCGUGCUGCAAGCUCACUAGAGCAGUCUGUUGGGGGGAUGUUGGCCUCCUUGGCUUGGAUACACCCGCGGUCUCAGCCUCUAAAAGCACUGACAAGCAGUACAAGGGACUCCUUCUCUCCUUCCUCUGCCAGUUGCCCCUGUCCAUCCAGAUGACAGCCUUCCAGCUCCAGCCAGGGCCCUCCCCUUCCUUUCCUGCCACCACCUUGACUCCUAGCCCAUGGCAUUCAAACACAGGUCUCUGGUCCACCCCAGAGGGGAGACUGGCAGGAGAUAAGCUUUAUUCAUUUCCGAUCCCUAAUUCUUGGAACAUACCAAACCCUUGGUGAAUUUUGCUGAAUAAAAGGGCAUUAGAAUCCAGUUGGCAAACA
rnacentral:lncRNA from 1 species